CGAAGCGUGGCUCAGCUUGGUAGAGCGCUGCGUUCGGGACGCAGAGGUCGUGGGUUCGAAUCCCGUCGCUUCGACUA
rnacentral:tRNA from 1 species